rnacentral:rRNA from 1 species
CAGCGAAAUGCGAUAAGUAAUGUGAAUUGCAGAAUUCAGUGAAUCAUCGAAUCUUUGAACGCACCUUGCGCCCUUUGGCUAUUCCGAAGGGCAUGCCUGUUUGAGUAUCAUGAACACCUCAACUCUCGUGGCUUGCCAUGACGAGCUUGGACUUUGGGGGUCUUGUUGGUCUGUGAGCCAGCUCCUCUUAAAUGAAUUAGCUUGCCGGUGUUUGGUGGCGUCACAGGUGUGAUAACUAUCUACGCUUGUGGUUUCCCACCAGGUAACCUUCAGCAAUGGAGGUUCACUGGAGCUUAUAAGCGUCUCUCCUCUGCGAAGACGCAUUUUGACCAUUUGAUCUCAAAUCAGGUAGGACUACCCGCUGAACUUAAGCAUAUCAAUAAGCGGAGGAAAAGAAACU